GCAUCUUUGGUCCAGCGGUAGGAUAAUCGCCUUCCACACCACCAGGUUUAAUUUCCUCAGCGGUCAGCAAGCGAUUGGCUCGGGUUCGACUCCCGGAAGAUGCA